GAAAAAGCGACAAUCAACACAUAGAACAUGCUUGGAUUUUAUAAACAACUUGUGCAGCACAGGCAGCCGCUGUGCGCCCUGGCGAGACCCUCCAUGAGACUGGUGCAGCCCUCG
rnacentral:ribozyme from 1 species